AGAAAGAGGAGGGGGGGGGGAUAACAGAGAGGUAGACAGAGAGGGAAUGGAGACCCAGGGGAGGGGGAAAGAAAGAAUAGGAGGGGGAAAAAGGAGGGGAGAGGGCAGGCCCACUAGAGGAGAGAGAGGGGGGGAGAAGGAAACAGAAAAUGGGGAAGAGGAGGGGGGACCAGAAGAAGGGGAGACAGCACCCUGGGAGCCUUCCUCACUGGCAGAGGAGGCUCCCGAUGGGCAAAGAGACCCCCCAAAUCCCAAACGGCGGUACUAAGGUACCCCGUGCGGCCCGCGGGGGCCUACU